AGCAUAGUUUAUAGAUAAUGCAAGCAUUCGAAAGAAAUUAACAGUUCAUAACUGAAUUUUUUGUCACAUGAACUUAGCGAUAUGACAGAGAUGAACCAGCAAAGGCGUAACGAGAUGAAACAGGCCUUGACAAAUUUUCUGGUUGGACUGCUUGGCGUGCCUGGUUAUAAUCUGAUGGCGGAUCAACAGCAUACUUCAAGUACAAAUUAUCCACUUCAUCAGUAUCUCUCCUACGCAAAUGAUCAGCAUCAGCUAAGUAAGUCUCCCUCCUACCAUUAACAUUAUAGGCACCUGAUGAAAUUUCCUCCCUCCUUGGAGGCAGCAGAUAUGCAUUUACAGAUGGAGCACCAUAUCGGUAAGAAUAAGAUGGAUCCCUUGAAUAGGAGUCCAACGCAGGAACAGCAGAACUAGAUGCUGCCACAGGUGGCAAUUCACUUCUACCACCAAGAUUGUAAGUCUGUAACUCUCUCUGGCUCAAGUAAUGGGGAUCAGCAAGAAAUGAUUCUCUAUGCAAAGGAAUAGUAUCACUGUUGUAUAGAGGGGCUGGCUGUCUGAGAAGGUGCUCUCCUUCCAGAUCCCUCUUGUAAGGGCCUAGAGUACCAGCCGCACCAUGUGGAGAGGUCAUGUUUCUUCUCUCUCUCUGAAGACCAUAUGUACGAUACUCCUUUUCACUCAUGUAUAAAUCACGUGGAGCUUCCUCUCUAUACGAUGAUACCAACUCCCUGAGCUCAAUAUGCUGAUCCCUUUCACGAGAGACAACAGGAUAACUUCUACCAUCACCGUUGACUCUGGUAAAUGUUUCCCUGUCUGAAUGGGGCCGUGACUCUCUUACACCCUCAUAGG
rnacentral:misc_RNA from 1 species